AUUGAACGCUGGCGGCAUGCCUUACACAUGCAAGUCGAACGGCAGCACGGGUGCUUGCACCUGGUGGCGAGUGGCGAACGGGUGAGUAAUAUAUCGGAACGUACCUUAUUGUGGGGGAUAACGCAGCGAAAGCUGUGCUAAUACCGCAUAAUCCCUAAGGGGGAAAGCGGGGGACCGUAAGGCCUCGCGCAAUUAGAGCGGCCGAUACCUGAUUAGCUAGUUGGUGAGGUAAAGGCUCACCAAGGCAACGAUCAGUAGCUGGUCUGAGAGGACGAUCAGCCACACGGGGACUGAGACACGGCCAAGACUCCUACGGGAGGCAGCAGUGGGGAAUGUUGGACAAUGGGGGCAACCCUGAUCCAGCAAUGCCGGGUGAGUGAAGAAGGCCUUCGGGUUGUAAAGCUCUUUUGUCAGGGAAGAAACAGCAGCUCUAACACAGUUUGCGAAUGACGGUACCUGAAGAAUAAGCACCGGCUAACUACGUGCCAGCCGCCGCCGUAA
rnacentral:rRNA from 1 species